UAUCAACAAGCUCCAUGUUGUUGGCUACAGCCAGAGAGGGCAUGGCUCCUUUUUAAGAUGAUCAUGACAGGUGUGACAGAUCCAUUCAUCCUUUCUCUCAUCAGGAACUUUACACUGUUCAUUUCUGCAGCCGUCAUCACAAACAUGAACAUAUUUUCCUGUCAGACAUUCAGCAGCCACUUCUACAGUGCAGACAUUGAUCAUGAGCAUAACGCUGAGUGACAUAAGAUUACUGCUUCUGCCUGAAUUCUUCAGUUUCCCUGUAUCUUUUGUAUUUGUGUCACAACUGAACUAGGACGUGAACCCAAAUGCACAACUCAGACUCAAAAGUACGAAAUGAACAAAUCUUUAAUAGACAAAGUAACAACAGAAAAUCACUCACAAGGAGGCAAAAACUAUGAAACAAACAAGGCAAGACAAGGGAUCAAAAACUUGGUGUGACUGGAACUCGAGGUGCAGGCUGGCUUGUCUCUCUGAAUGAACAGGACAAACCAGCACAGGACAAAGGGAGACACAGACUCUAAAUAGACACAAGGUAAGGGGGAACAGGUGGAGACAAUCAGGGCGGGGCAAGCAAUCAGACAGGAGGGAAACACAUGAGGGGAAGAGGCAAGUGACCUGAAACGAGAGGAGAGUAAGAUUUCAAAAUAAAACAGGAAGACACAAGACAACAUGAAGACAGGACAACACAGCAGUGAGUUAACAUAAUUUCUUGGACAUGACAAUUUGUUGCUUGAAUAAGAUUUCUUUUUGACUAUAUGAUUCAUUAGAAGAAUACUUUUCCUUCUCUUUUCUUUUUUGGUUUGCUUUUCUUUUUGGUGCUUUCCUUGAGAUCAUUAGUCUCCUCUGAAAUGUUCUCCUUUCAUUUUUACCAAGUUUGACCAGUUUAGAGGAGAGGUCAUGUGAGACUUUAUCAGACAGAUCACUGGCAGCAGGUUUUAUCAGUGGAACAGUUGAGAGUGAUUCUUUGUGAGGAGCAUCAUGUGCUGUGACAGAAUUAAAGCUGAACUGGCUCAAUGGUUGUGGUUCAGUUUCCAUACUUUAUGCUUCAUGUAACAUGUCAUCAGAGAGGUCAGUGACCACAGUGUUUGUCUUUGGAGCAUCAACCACAACAGGACUGGGAGUUGUAGUCUGAGUGUCUGGGAUGGCUUCACUCUGAUUGGCUGUGUUCUCACUGUGAAACUCCACAGGCUUCAGCUCAUAGUUACAGGUGGACUGUGUACCAAAGCUCUUGUGACACAUUUUGAUGCUGUCAAUCAUGUCACUGAUAUGUGUGAAUGUCACCAUGACAGCUUUACCAGCAAACAGUGACGGCAAACCAUCCUCUCCUCUGGGGUGUGGGUCAAAGAAACCGUACCUGCCUGAUCUGGUUCUGAACACUGCCAUACACAACCCUGUCAUCAACAGCAAGGCAUACUGCACAUCUGACAGCAGACAGCUCAGUCCAGCCUCCAGGUCCAGAAAACUGUCCACAGCUCCAGGUAAAGGAUCUCCUAAUGUGCCGUACCGGGAAAGUAGUGUUUUGUCAGCAUGAAACACGUGUCUGCGUGCUGGGACUAAAUCUGGGAGCUCAUCAGUGGUGAGAAGCCUGGCUGCAGGACGCUCUGACACGAUGUUCACCAGGCUGAUCUCCCACGUUCACACUGUCUGUACGAGGAGGUCCUGCCACACAUGAAGCAUCUCUCUGACGCUGUGUCUGUACCAUGUCAGCAUAAGAUGGUUUUCUUGAAACAUGGUGUUCACCUCUGUGCUUCACCUGGUGCAUCUGAACAGACUCUGCUACACACAGAGUUUCACUGUAACGUCCUCUCUUCACAACAUCAGCGUACGAUACCUGUGGUACACACACUGCAUCACGUUGACCUGCCUGGUUUACAGCUUCAGCAGGAGACACCACAGACUCUCUCACCAAGUCUCUGCUCUGAGGACCAGGACCUUCUGCUUGUUCACAUGGUGCUGCACACUGAGACUCCCUCUGCUGCUGCCACUGUAGCUUUGUAGCUUGAGACCUUUUACACCUUUUACCUUGGCAUCGUUGUUGUUCUCCAAAACCACAGUUAUCGCUCUUGUAUAUAUAUUUACACAAACCACACACUAACAGGAUUACACAUUAGGGAUUGUGUUUCAAGGCUUUCUGUAGAGACUGACUAUAAAUGUUUAACAGCGUCUUAGAUCAAACUACGAGUUUCAAUGAGGCUAUUCAGUAACAAAUCAGAGAAUAAAUUAAUGCUUUAACUAAAAGUUAGGUAUCUUUUAUAUGUGACAGUUAAUAUUCAGAAUCAAUAACACAGGUGUGGUAGUGUGGUGUGAGACGAGUGCCUCUGGUAACAGGAUUUAGCCACAUGUUGAUUCAGUCACAGUCAGGAACAUUGAGUCUGUAGACCAGGACCAAAUAAAUCCAGAUCCUCCUUUUUAUUUCAAUGUCAACAGGUUAAACAACAACAAAACACUUGUAUACAGUGAAUAUUUGGAAAAUUGUGGGCGUGCACCAAUAUCUGCAGUCAACACAAACCUGAGUACAAACCUCUGAGCAGCAGGCCAAAAUUAGUAGACAGGAACAGAGGUCUACAUACAGUGCUCUUCUGCUAUCAUUUAUUUUUUCAAAUAUAAUAAAGACAGCACUGUAUCCCAACAGUAAUUUUUAUUUUUUUAGUCGAUAUUUAUACAAUACACCAAAUUUUGUAUCU